UACGGAGGGUGCAAGCGUUAUCCGGAUUUACUGGGUUUAAAGGGUGUGUAGGCGGACUUUUAAGUCAGCGGUGAAAUCUCCGGGCUUAACUCGGAACGGUCAACUGAUACUGCUCGACUAGAGUGCGGAAGGGGCAACUGGAAUUCUUGGUGUAGCGGUGAAAUGCGUAGAUAUCAAGAGGAACACCUGCGGCGAAGGCGGGUUGCUGGGCCGACACUGACGCUGAGUGCGCGAAAGCCAGGGGAGCGAACGGG
rnacentral:rRNA from 1 species